rnacentral:tRNA from 1 species
CGGGUUGUAGCGUAGCCUGGUAGCGCGCUUGCAUGGGGUGCAAGAGGUCGUGGGUUCGAAUCCCGCCAGCCCGACCA